AUGUAGCUCCAGCAGCAAUUGUGUAGCGAUGUCAUAAAAGAAAAGCCUGAGCUAAUCCAGAAAUGGACCCGAGGAUCCCCGAGUAUGGGGUAUCUCUGGAUGAAACUCAGGGGAGUCUAUAAAUUUUAAGUGGGGACAAAAAAAUCUUCACUUUGAUUAACCGGUAGCAGAAAUGCAGCAUUUUGUUCCAUAAGAGACACAGCCAUCAGACCAACGGAUUGUUCAUCACAUCUGUGACUUUGUCAGCUCAGGAAAUCGUGGGUAUUUUUAGACGAUAUUUCAUAACCUCAACUUGACAUUGUAUAUGUCCCUCACUGCCUCAAAACUACAAUAGUCAUUAGGACAACUGGCUAACUUGCUAUAUAAUGUAAUUGAGAGGUAUGUAUCCUAUGCCACUUAUUAAAGAAAAUCUAAGAACACAUUGUAUAGGCCUCUAAUGGCAUAAUUCAGAGGGACAUAUGCUCCUCCCCCACCACAGGGAGAAUGCUAUCGUAGAAAUUGUACUACCAUGUUUUCUUUGCAGGCUGAUAAUUUGCAUAUUUCUCAGGGUCUGUUCAAACAUGCCACCAGUGUGGCCAGCUGAUGGCAGUGACAGAGUUGUGCUAACCUGCUCCACCUUCCUCUCCCGAAGAAGCUGCUGGAAGAACUUGGUGAUGUGACAAAUAUAUUAUGUUCAUAAUACUCAUAGUUACCAUGGCUAUGGGGGAAUCAGAGCUUCAAGUAAAUAUGCUAUGAAGAGGACUUUAUGAAAAAAAUGAUCAUGUUUGAGGUCAAUAGAAGGAUUCUUUUGCCCUGAAUAUCAGUGAAUAAAUGUGGACUUGGGCCACGGAUGCUGGGCA
rnacentral:lncRNA from 1 species